CCUACGGGGGGCAGCAGUGGGGAAUAUUGGGCAAUGGGCGCAAGCCUGACCCAGCAACGCCGCGUGAAGGAAGAAGGCUUUCGGGUUGUAAACUUCUUUUGUCAGGGAAGAGUAGAAGACGGUACCUGACGAAUAAGCCACGGCUAACUACGUGCCAGCAGCCGCGGUAAUACGUAGGUGGCAAGCGUUGUCCGGAUUUACUGGGUGUAAAGGGCGUGUAGCCGGGUUGACAAGUCAGAUGUGAAAUCCAUGGGCUCAACCUAUGGCCUGCAUUUGAAACUGUAGUUCUUGAGUACUGGAGAGGCAGACGGAAUUCCUAGUGUAGCGGUGAAAUGCGUAGAUAUUAGGAGGAACACCAGUGGCGAAGGCGGUCUGCUGGACAGCAACUGACGCUGAGGCGCGAAAGCGUGGGGAGCAAACAGGAUUAGAUACCCCAGUAGUC
rnacentral:rRNA from 1 species